GACGAACGCUGGCGGCGUGCCUAAUACAUGCAAGUUGAGCGCUGAAGGUUGGUACUUGUACCAACUGGAUGAGCAGCGAACGGGUGAGUAACGCGUGGGGAAUCUGCCUUUGAGCGGGGGACAACAUUUGGAAACGAAUGCUAAUACCGCAUAAAAACUUUAAACACAAGUUUUAAGUUUGAAAGAUGCAAUUGCAUCACUCAAAGAUGAUCCCGCGUUGUAUUAGCUAGCUGGUGAGGUACAGGCUCACCAAGGCGAUGAUACAUAGCCGACCUGAGAGGGUGAUCGGCCACAGUGGGACUGAGACACGGCCCAAACGCCUACGGGAGGCAGCAGUAGGGAAUCUUCGGCAAUGGACGAAAGUCUGACCGAGCAACGCCGCGUGAGUGAAGAAGGUUUUCGGAUCGUAAAACUCUGUUGGUAGAGAAGAACGUUGGUGAGAGUGGAAAGCUCAUCAAGUGACGGUAACUACCCAGAAAGGGACGGCUAAGUACGUG
rnacentral:rRNA from 1 species